GCGCCGGUAGUGUAAGGCGAACAUCGCUGCCCGGAAAGCAGAAGACCGGGUUCGAGUCCCGUCUGACGCA
rnacentral:tRNA from 1 species